rnacentral:rRNA from 1 species
CAGCCGCCGCGGUAAUACGAGGGGGGCAAGCGUUGUUCGGAAUUAUUGGGCGUAAAGGGUGCGUAGGCGGUUUGAUAAGUCAUCUGUGAAAUCUCUGGGCUCAACCCAGAGUCUGCAGGCGAAACUGUCGGGCUUGAGUAUGGGAGAGGUGAGUGGAAUUUCCGGUGUAGCGGUGAAAUGCGUAGAUAUCGGAAGGAACACCUGUGGCGAAAGCGGCUCACUGGACCAUAACUGACGCUGAUGCACGAAAGCUAGGGGAGCAAACAGGAUUAGAUACCCCCGUAGUCCCUGUCUCUUAUAC